rnacentral:lncRNA from 1 species
UAGAGAAAAAGCAGCGUGGUGAAAAAGGUUCCAGCCCCUUAUUUAGGUUUGUUUCUUGAUUAGUUGUCUAAGGAAUCAUUUAACUGAAUCAUUUAGUUUGAUUAUUGGGAUUAUAGUAUUCUAUAUGCUUUAAUUAAGUUUUAUUUUUUGAAAAAAAACUUCCUUUUUGCUAGUGUUAAAAUUUCAGCAAUCUGUUUAGUCGAAACAAAUCGUGCUUUAACUCGAUUAUACUGUGAGUUUUGUAAUUUUUCAGACCCCUGGUGAAAUAUAAUUAUAGGUUUUCUAUUUAUCAUGAUUUCCAGCAACUUUUAAGUGAUUUUUAAAGCUUAUUUUUAAGGGUUUGUUAGCUUUAUGAAUCGUUUGCUUGAUUAGUCGCAAUGAACAUUAGUAUCGAGAGGAUUUUUUAAAGAAGAUAAAAAUAAAAAAAUGUAAGGAAUGCAUGAAUGCUUUUGAAUAAGAAUGUUUGGAUGAUUACCUUAUAAUCGAAUCUUCUUUUUUUGUCGUGUUUCAGGUGGUAGUCCCUUGCGAAUAACGACAAAGUGAAUGACGGUAGAGACUGUUGUACUUAGGUUUAUCUCGUGUUUUGUAACGUGUUGUAAUAAUUUCUUUUCUUUUUUAUUUUGGACUUGGACUUGGGGUGCAUGGGUUUUGUUUCAUCCAAAACCACUCUCCCCUUUUCUCCUCUUGAUUGUCCAUUUAAAUCAAGAAAAGGGGCUGCCACCCCCCUCUCCCCA